UACAGAGGUCUCGAGCGUUGUUCGGAUUCAUUGGGCGUAAAGGGCGCGUAGGCGGCGGGGUAAGUCUGGUGUGAAAUCUCGGAGCUCAACUCCGAAAUUGCACUGGAUACUGCUCUGCUAGAGGGCUGGAGAGGAGAUCGGAAUUCACGGUGUAGCAGUGAAAUGCGUAGAUAUCGUGAGGAAGACCAGUGGCGAAGGCGGAUCUCUGGACAGCUCCUGACGCUGAGGCGCGAAAGCUAGGGGAGCGAACGGG
rnacentral:rRNA from 1 species